CAUGCCCCAGCUCGUGUUGCAGAUAUGGCUGUAGUGCCAUGUUUGUGUCAUUAGGUGGCAGAGAGGAAAAGGCUACAUCUUUGCUGGUGCUCUGAGACCCGUGAGCACUCAGGGAUGAGCAACCUAACAGU
rnacentral:snoRNA from 1 species